rnacentral:rRNA from 1 species
CACGUAGGGCGCGAGCGUUGUCCGGAAUUAUUGGGCGUAAAGAGCUCGUAUGCGGCCUGUUGCGUCCGCUGUGAAAGCCCGGGGCUUAACCCCGGGUCUGCAGUGGAUACGGGCAGGCUAGAGGUAGGUAGGGGAGAAUGGAAUUCCCGGUGUAGCGGUGAAAUGCGCAGAUAUCGGGAGGAACACCGGUGGCGAAGGCGGUUCUCUGGGCCUUACCUGACGCUGAGGAGCGAAAGCGUGGGUAGCAAACAGG